AGCCGCUGCAAAUCUUAUCCUUCCUCCCUCCAGGUUUUCUUCAGUGUCGAAAUUGGUAUGGAGACGUGGAUGGAGAUUUGAGUCUUAGGAAUUUGGGAAGAGCUCAAGUGAUUCAGAAUGAAAAGACCUUGGCACAGACCUGUUAAGGAAGCUCCAUAUAAGGGCCACCGGGGUUGGCUGAGUCAGAAUACCAGCCAUGUGGCAUGUCGCAUGGGGCAAGAGCUGUGCUGCCCAUGGGAGUCCAGAGAAGGAGCACACUAAGGACCAACACCAGAGAGAAGACAGCUGUCUGCAAACCAGAAAGAGAGUCCUCACUGCACUUCAUAUCUGCCAAUGGAUCCUUGCUCUUGAACCUCCCAACCUGCAGAAUCAUGAGAAACAAACAUUGUCAUUUGCUCUAGGGGAAGCCUGCAGCUAUGUCAUGAGGACCCUCAACAGCCCUGUGCAGAGGACUAUGUGGCAUGAAAGAUACCUUCUGCCAACAACCAGCCCCAACUUGCCAAGCAUGUGAACAAGCUAAACUGAAAGCAGAUCUUCAGCCCCAAUCAAGCCUUCAGAUGACAGUAACCUCAGCCAAUAUACUGACUAUAACCUCAUAAAAGACCCUGAACCAGAACCCUCUAAGCCACUCUCAAACUCUACCCCACAUAAACUGUGAAAUAAUAUAUGUUUAUUGUUAUUUUGGGCCACUAAGUUUAGGGGUAAUUUGUUAUGCAGCAAUUAUAUAACCAAUAUUCCAACUAAAGCUGAAAUGCCUCCUGCAUUUCCUCCCUCAGUGGCCUACACUACAAUCCAAGUUCAGGAAAAAACGAGAACCUUAUUUAAGGUAGUGGCAAGAAAUGAAUGGAUUAACUGGACAUUUAAAAAGUAUUUGAUAGAACUUGGUGAUAGGAGGUGGGGCAGUUAGGGACUAGCAGGAAUUUAGGAUGAGAGGCUCAUUCAGUUGGGCUUAUGUUUUACUGAGGUCAAUUCCAAAAGGAAGGAAAGAAAAAUCCAGCCAAAUAACCUUUAAUGGACUAAGUCUUCUUUCAUAAGUCAGUUUGCACAACUUCUUCACAGGAAUCAGAUUUUAAAUAUCAUAACUGAAGAGAAAAAAAACAGCAAGAGGAGUUUACCUUUAUGGUGGAAUGACACUAAUCUUUCAUGCUUUCAAAUUUCUUGAAAUUUCCUUCGUAUGCAUUAUCUUAUUUGCUGUUCACAGUAAAACUGUGUAUUGGCUAAGCCAGUUUUUAUGAAAAUAUAAGCAGUGAGAAAAAGUAAGAUAGUAUGUCAGUUAGUAGAUUUUUUUAUGGACAUUGUGACAGAGGACACAACUUAAACUGGCUUUUUUUUUUUUUUUUUUUU
rnacentral:lncRNA from 1 species